UACAGAGGUGGCAAGCGUUGUUCGGAAUUACUGGGCGUAAAGGGCGCGUAGGCGGCUUGGUCAGUCCCGUGUGAAAUCCCUCGGCUCAACUGAGGAACUGCACGGGAAACUGCCUGGCUUGAGUUCGGGAGAGGGAAGCGGAAUUCCGGGUGUAGCGGUGAAAUGCGUAGAGAUGUGGAGGAAUACCGAUGGCGAAGGCAGCCCCCUGGGAUAACACUGACGCUCAUGCACGAAAGCGUGGGGAGCAAACAGG
rnacentral:rRNA from 1 species